GACGAACGCUGGCGGCGUGCUUAACACAUGCAAGUCGAACGGAAAGGCCCUGCUUUUGUGGGGUGCUCGAGUGGCGAACGGGUGAGUAACACGUGAGUAACCUGCCCUUGACUUGGGAUAACUUCAGGAAACUGGGGCUAAUACCGGAUAGGAGCUCCUGCUGCAUGGUGGGGGGUGGAAAGUUUCGGCGGUUGGGGAUGGACUCGCGGCUUAUCAGCUUGUUGGUGGGGUAGUGGCUUACCAAGGCUUUGACGGGUAGCCGGCCUGAGAGGGUGACCGGCCACAUUGGGACUGAGAUACGGCCCAGACUCCUACGGGAGGCAGCAGUGGGGAAUAUUGCACAAUGGGCGGAAGCCUGAUGCAGCAACGCCGCGUGCGGGAUGACGGCCUUCGGGUUGUAAACCGCUUUCGCCUGUGACGAAGCGUGAGUGACGGUAAUGGGUAAAGAAGCACCGGCUAACUACGUG
rnacentral:rRNA from 1 species